rnacentral:rRNA from 1 species
AUUCCAGCUCCAAUAGCGUAUAUUAAAGUUGUUGCAGUUAAAAAGCUCGUAGUUGAACUUCAGGCUUGGUUGGGCGGUCCGCCUCACGGCGUGUACUGUCUGACUGGGUCUUACCUCUUGGUGAGCCAGCGUGGCCUUUAUUGGUUGCGUUGGGGAACCAGGACUUUUACCUUGAGAAAAUUAGAGUGUUCAAAGCAGGCCUAUGUCCGAAUACAUUAGCAUGGAAUAAUAAAAUAGGACGUGCGAUCCUAUUUUGUUGGUUUCUAGAGUCGCCGUAAUGAUUAAUAGGGAUAGUUGGGGGCAUUGGUAUUGAGUCGCUAGAGGUGAAAUUCUUGGAUUGACUCAAGACCAACUACUGCGAAAGCAUUUGCCAAGGAUGUUUUCAUUG